rnacentral:rRNA from 1 species
CACGUAGGGCGCGAGCGUUGUCCGGAAUUAUUGGGCGUAAAGAGCUCGUAGGCGGCCUGUUGCGUCCGCUGUGAAAGCCCGGGGCUUAACCCCGGGUCGGCAGUGGAUACGGGCAGGCUAGAGGUAGGUAGGGGAGAAUGGAAUUCCCGGUGUAGCGGUGAAAUGCGCAGAUAUCGGGAGGAACACCAGUGACGAAGGCGAUCAUCUGGGGUUGUUCUGACACUGAGGAGCGAAAGCUAGGGGAGCAAACGGG